rnacentral:rRNA from 1 species
UACGUAGGGUGCGAGCGUUGUCCGGAAUUAUUGGGCGUAAAGAGCUUGUAGGUGGUUUGUCGCGUCUGCUGUGAAAAUCCGGGGCUCAACCCCGGACUUGCAGUGGGUACGGGCAGACUAGAGUGUGGUAGGGGAGACUGGAAUUCCUGGUGUAGCGGUGGAAUGCGCAGAUAUCAGGAGGAACACCAGUGGCGAAGGCGGGUCUCUGGGCCGAUACUGACGCUGAGGAGCGAAAGCGUGGGGAGCGAACAGG